rnacentral:tRNA from 1 species
GCCGCGGUAGCUCAGUUUGUAGAGCAUCGGACGAGUUAUUCGAAGGUCGCAGGUUCGGUCCCUGCCCGCGGCA